CCUACGGGUGGCAGCAGUGGGGAAUAUUGCGCAAUGGGCGAAAGCCUGACGCAGCGACGCCGCGUGAGGGAUGAAGGUCUUCGGAUCGUAAACCUCUGUCAGCAGGGAAGAACGGUCACUGUGCUAAUCAGCAGUGACUUGACGGUACCUGCAAAGGAAGCACCGGCUAACUCCGUGCCAGCAGCCGCGGUAAUACGGAGGGUGCGAGCGUUAAUCGGAAUGACUGGGCGUAAGGCGCUCGUAGGCGGUAUGUCAAGUCAAGGGUGAAAUCCCCGCGCUCAACGUGGGAACUGCCUUUGAAACUGACAAACUGGAGUGUGUGAGGGGAUAGUGGAAUUCCAGGUGUAGGGGUGAAAUCCGUAGAUAUCUGGAGGAACAUCAGUGGCGAAGGCGACUAUCUGGCACAUAACUGACGCUGAGGAGCGAAAGCGUGGGUAGCAAACAGGAUUAGAUACCCCAGUAGUC
rnacentral:rRNA from 1 species